rnacentral:rRNA from 1 species
GACGAACGCUGGCGGCGUGCCUAAUACAUGCAAGUCGAACGCUUCUUUCCUCCCGAGUGCUUGCACUCAAUUGGAAAGAGGAGUGGCGGACGGGUGAGUAACACGUGGGUAACCUACCCAUCAGAGGGGGAUAGCACUUGGAAACAGGUGCUAAUACCGCAUAACAGUUUAUGCCGCAUGGCAUAAGAGUGAAAGGCGCUUUCGGGUGUCGCUGAUGGAUGGACCCGCGGUGCAUUAGCUAGUUGGUGAGGUAACGGCUCACCAAGGCCACGAUGCAUAGCCGACCUGAGAGGGUGAUCGGCCACACUGGGACUGAGACACGGCCCAGACUCCUACGGGAGGCAGCAGUAGGGAAUCUUCGGCAAUGGACGAAAGUCUGACCGAGCAACGCCGCGUGAGUGAAGAAGGUUUUCGGAUCGUAAAACUCUGUUGUUAGAGAAGAACAAGGACGUUAGUAACUGAACGUCCCCUGACGGUAUCUAACCAGAAAGCCACGGCUAACUACGUG